AACGAACGCUGGCGGCGUGCCUAAUACAUGCAAGUCGAGCGGACAGAAGGGAGCUUGCUCCCGGAAGUUAGCGGCGGACGGGUGAGUAACACGUGGGCAACCUACCCUGUAGAUCGGGAUAACAUCGAGAAAUCGGUGCUAAUACCGGAUAAUCAUUUGAAGUGCAUGCUUCGAAUGUAAAAGAUGGCUCCGGCUAUCACUACGGGAUGGGCCCGCGGCGCAUUAGCUAGUUGGUAAGGUAAUGGCUUACCAAGGCAACGAUGCGUAGCCGACCUGAGAGGGUGAUCGGCCACACUGGGACUGAGACACGGCCCAGACUCCUACGGGAGGUAGCAGUGGGGAAUCAUCCGCAAUGGACGAAAGUCUGACGGAGCAACGCCGCGUGAGUGAUGAAGGUUUUCGGAUCGUAAAGCUCUGUUGUUAGGGAAGAACAAGUGCCGUUUGAAUAAGGCGGCACCUUGACGGUACCUAACCAGAAAGCCACGGCUAACUACGUGCCAGCCGCCGCCGUAACAC
rnacentral:rRNA from 1 species